UUCCAUGGUUACUAUGCAUUUCUUUAUUUGUAUUCUGUGCAGCAGGUAAACGACGAUGCAAAACAGGUUUCAAGGAGUCGUGCGUAAAUUUGUGCCAUCGACGAUUUACAAGAAAAGUUUUAUCUACUCAUGGCCUCAUUUGCAUAAUUGUACGCUCAAAGUUAACGUGAACUAGACGAAUUGGAAAAACCUAAUUGGAUUAUUUUUAUUUUUUCAAAAGGGAAGGUUUACGGAGCCGAGACUGAGGCCUGGAUAAAAGGAGAAUAAUGAUAGACGGAGCAAUUUUUUCUUAUUUCGCGCACCGAACUUUCACAGCUAAACAGGUUUUAUACUACUGUCAAAUUAAGAUCCAGCAGGUAGAUUUUCGGUUCUAUCCAUGACAAAAACUUAAAGUAUAUAAUUAACGUUAUAACGUCACGUCUCUUAUACAGGAUGUUCAUGCAGAUAUUUCUAUUGUAGUAAAAAUGACAAUGCAUAAUUUUUGAUUGAUGACUGUAA
rnacentral:lncRNA from 1 species